rnacentral:rRNA from 1 species
GGGGGCUGGCGUUGUUCGGAAUUACUGGGCGUAAAGCGCACGUAGGCGGCUUUGUAAGUUAGAGGUGAAAGCCCGGGGCUCAACUCCGGAAUUGCCUUUAAGACUGCAUCGCUAGAAUUGUGGAGAGGUAAGUGGAAUUCCGAGUGUAGAGGUGAAAUUCGUAGAUAUUCGGAAGAACACCAGUGGCGAAGGCGACUUACUGGACACAUAUUGACGCUGAGGUGCGAAAGCGUGGGGAGCAAACAGG